CUACGGGCGGCUGCAGUAGGGAAUAUUGGGCAAUGGGCGCAAGCCUGACCCAGCAACGCCGCGUGCGCGAAGAAGGCCUUCGGGUCGUAAAGCGCUUUUCUGAGGGAUGAGAAAGGACAGUACCUCAGGAAUAAGCCUCGGCUAACUACGUGCCAGCAGCCGCGGUAAAACGUAGGAGGCGAGCGUUAUCCGGAUUUACUGGGCGUAAAGCGUGUGCAGGCGGUCUGGCAAGUUGGAUGUGAAAGCUCCCGGCUCAACUGGGAGAGGUCGUUCAAAACUACCGGACUAGAGUGUAUCAGAGGGGGAUGGAAUUCCCGGUGUAGUGGUGAAAUGCGUAGAUAUCGGGAGGAACACCAGUGGCGAAAGCGAUCUUCUGGGAUACUACUGACGCUCAGACACGAAAGCUAAGGUAGCGAACGGGAUUAGAUACCCUUGUAGUC
rnacentral:rRNA from 1 species